rnacentral:rRNA from 1 species
GUGGGGAAUUUUGGACAAUGGGCGCAAGCCUGAUCCAGCAAUGCCGCGUGCAGGAAGAAGGCCUUCGGGUUGUAAACUGCUUUUGUACGGAACGAAACGGUCCUGGUUAAUACCUGGGGCUAAUGACGGUACCGUAAGAAUAAGCACCGGCUAACUACGUGCCAGCAGCCGCGGUAAUACGUAGGGUGCGAGCGUUAAUCGGAAUUACUGGGCGUAAAGCGUGCGCAGGCGGUUUUGUAAGACAGGCGUGAAAUCCCCGGGCUCAACCUGGGAAUUGCGCUUGUGACUGAAAGGCUGGAGUGCGGCAGAGGGGGAUGGAAUUCCGCGUGUAGCAGUGAAAUGCGUAGAUAUGCGGAGGAACACCGAUGGCGAAGGCAAUCCCCUGGGCCUGCACUGACGCUCAUGCACGAAAGCGUGGGGAGCAAACAGGAUUAGAUACCCUUGUAGUCC